UGCUAUUCCCGAUUAUUCCGGAAUAGUUUGAAAUUUGCUAUUCCACCAUUUUGGUGGAAUAGUGCUAUUCCAAUGCUUAAUUUCAAACUUAAUUAAAAUUAUAAAUUAAAUUAAAACUAAAUUAUAUAAAUAUAAUAUGUUAUAUAUGAUAAUACAUUAUUUUUAUUAUAAGCUUAUUAAUUGUACUAUAUUAAUAUAUAUUAUUUAUAUUUAAAUAUUAUAAUAAAUUCUUUUUAUUAAAUUUAAGUUUAAGUAAAAUUUUAAAAAAGUUUAUAAAUUUAUUAUAAUAAAUUAUUUUUAUUAAUUGUUGCCACUCCUAUUCUUAUUUUAA
rnacentral:lncRNA from 1 species